rnacentral:rRNA from 1 species
AGCUCCAAUAGCGUAUAUUAAAGUUGUUGCAGUUAAAAAGCUCGUAGUUGAAUUUGUGGGAGGUCAUGGAGUCCACACUGUUGGUAUUUUGUGACUUUUCAAUUUUGGACGUAUCCAGUGUGGCAUUAGGUUGUUGUGCUGGUGAUGUCCAUCGUUUACUGUGAAAAAAUCAGCGCGUUCAAAGCAGACUUAUGUCCUGAAUGUGUUAGCAUGGAAUAAUGAGAUAGGGCUCUGGUACUAUUUUGUUGGUUUGUGCACCGGAGCAAUGACUAAUAGGGACAGUUGGGGGUCUUCGUAUUGCAUUGUCAGAGGUGAAAUUCUUGGAUUUCUGCAAGACGAACUACUGCGAAAGCAUUGACCAAGGAUGUUUUCA